rnacentral:rRNA from 1 species
AACGCUAGCUACAGGCUUAACACAUGCAAGUCGAGGGGUAGCAGGGUAGCAAUACCGCUGACGACCGGCGCACGGGUGAGUAACACGUAUCCAACCUUCCCAUAACUCGGGGAUAGCCUUUCGAAAGAAAGAUUAAUACCCGAUAGUACUUAAGAAAGGCAUCUUUUUUAAGUUAAAGAUUUAUUGGUUAUGGAUGGGGAUGCGUUCCAUUAGAUAGUUGGUGAGGUAACGGCUCACCAAGUCUUCGAUGGAUAGGGGUUCUGAGAGGAAGGUCCCCCACAUUGGUACUGAGACACGGACCAAACUCCUACGGGAGGCAGCAGUGAGGAAUAUUGGUCAAUGGGCGAAAGCCUGAACCAGCCAAGUAGCGUGCAGGAUGACGGCCCUAUGGGUUGUAAACUGCUUUUAUACAGGAAUAAAGUUAGCCACGUGUGGUUAUUUGUAGGUACUGUAUGAAUAAGGACCGGCUAAUUCCGUGCCAGCAGCCGCGGUAAUACGGAAGGUCCAGGCGUUAUCCGGAUUUAUUGGGUUUAAAGGGUGCGUAGGCGGAAUAAUAAGUCAGUUGUGAAAGUUUGCGGCUCAACCGUAAAAUUGCAGUUGAUACUGUUAUUCUUGAGUGUACAUAAGGUAGGCGGAAUUCGUGGUGUAGCGGUGAAAUGCUUAGAUAUCACGAAGAACUCCGAUUG